GUGGGAGGGGGCUUGCCCCCGAUGACGGAGUGUCUGCCAGCUCAUCUGUUACUGACCCAUUGCUAUCGGGGGCAAGCCCCCUCCCAC
rnacentral:misc_RNA from 1 species